GACGAACGCUGGCGGCGUGCUUAACACAUGCAAGUCGAACGGAAAGGCCCUGCUUUUGUGGGGUGCUCGAGUGGCGAACGGGUGAGUAACACGUGAGUAACCUGCCCUUGACUUUGGGAUAACUUCAGGAAACUGGGGCUAAUACCGGAUAGGAGCUCCUGCUGCAUGGUGGGGGUUGGAAAGUUUCGGCGGUUGGGGAUGGACUCGCGGCUUAUCAGCUUGUUGGUGGGGUAGUGGCUUACCAAGGCUUUGACGGGUAGCCGGCCUGAGAGGGUGACCGGCCACAUUGGGACUGAGAUACGGCCCAGACUCCUACGGGAGGCAGCAGUGGGGAAUAUUGCACAAUGGGCGGAAGCCUGAUGCAGCAACGCUGCGUGCGGGAUGACGGCCUUCGGGUUGUAAACCGCUUUCGCCUGUGACGAAGCGUGAGUGGCGGUAAUGGGUAAAGAAGCACCGGCUAACUACGUG
rnacentral:rRNA from 1 species